rnacentral:lncRNA from 1 species
CAAUGGGUAUGGAUACCCGAAAUUUUAUUCAAAUCCGAACCCGAAUAAAACGGAUAUAUCCGAUGGAUAUGAAUAUGGAUUCGGAUAUGGAUAUCAAAAAUAGAAAUCCGACGGAUAUGGAUUCGGAUAUGGAUUUUGAUUGUACCCGACCCGAACCUGAAUCCGACCCGAACCCGAAUUUAUUUUGUAUUAUAUAUAAUAUAUAUAUGUAUAUAAAUUUGAUGUUAUAUUUAAAUUUGUAUUUUAAAAUUUUAGAUUUAAUAUAAUAUAUUUUGAAAUAUUGAAAAAUAAAAUAAUUGUUUCAGGUUCAAAUUUUUGGGUUCGGGUUCGGGUUCGGAUUUUGGAUUUUUGGUCGGGUUCGGGUUUGGAUAUGGAUUUUUAAAAUCCGUCGGGUUCGGGUCUCGGGCUCAGAGUCGGGUUCGAGUUUUUAAAAAUCUGCCCCCAAUCCGACCCGUUGACAUC